ACUCAGUGCCUGCGCCGCUUAUUUGAAGAGAAAGAUUCAAUGCAGGGGCUUAAUGGCCUCAAAUAUUUCUCAACAAUUGUUGCUCUUGUGAUGAAGACACUUUAUUCUCAGAAGGGAGGAACCUUUUGGAGAGUAAUGGCUGCAUCAACUUCAGGAGUUACUACAGUUGCAAACACGUAUUGGGACCUUGUCAUAGAUUGGGGUCUAUUGCAAAGGAAUUCUAAAAACCCCUGGUUGAGAGACAAGCUACUCGUGCCACACAAGAUUGUCUACUUUGUUGCCAUUGUAAGCCUCUUUGAAUAGGAUUAACAAAACUCUUGCAUUGAAAUUACGUUAUUGAUGAUUCGAACUCCAAAUGGCAGGUUCUUGACAUUAUUCUGAGACUAGUAUGGAUGCAAUUGGUUCUAGAUAUUAAAGAACUCUCAUUUCUGCACGAGAAAGCAUUCCUUGCAGUUGUUGCCUGUUUGGAAAUCCUUCGUCGAGGCAUAUGGAACUUUUUCAGGUAUGAAGCAUUAUACAUCAACAAUGUAAAUAACUUUUACACAUUCAGAUUCAGACUCCGUAUAUAUAAGUUAAAAUCAUAUCUACAAAAUUUGAUGAGUUAGCUUCCGCUAACUUGUUCACAUAAUAAGAUCAUAAUUAAGCCCUCGCUCUAUCUAACAAUAAUAGUUAUGCUGUUUUCAUCAUUGUUCAGGUUGGAAAAUGAGCACUUGAAUAACGUUGGAAAAUACCGUGCCUUCAAGUCGGUACCUCUGCCUUUUAACUACGAUGAGGACAAGAGUCAAUAACUUUGUUUAACUAAUUGAUACCAGCAAAUCAAAGGACUCAAAAUGAUUUUCUGGUUUACAGUAUAGUUUGUCAAUGCUGUUUAUAGUAGUAUAGUUUUGUUUGUGAAAUUACACGGGAAAAAAAGAAGAAGCUGAAUCCAGCCUCUUGUCUUAAAAACACUUGCUCAUGAAAAGUCUCAUCAUAUUUUCCAUUGUUUGGCUUGAAUUUUUCUUCGGUAGCAUUUUUUAUCACUUGCUUCAGAAAAAUACUUAAGAUUGGUCAAACCAGAACCCAAUGAUCUGUUCAGCAAAAAUAAAUAAAUCAUGUUUUAUAAAUUACUCAAAAAUCUGAUAAAGGAUAUGAAACAACACGACCAUACACUACGGAGCACGCAAAGUAUUUUAAGGAAUUUAAUCCUCCGUUCUUAUUUAUGUCAUAUUUACUAAAAAACAAAUGUUUCUUAUUAUUUCUCAUUUCACAAAAUCAAUACAUAAAUAAUAUUAUUAUUCCUAUUUUAUCUUUAAGAAGAGUUAUUAAUUUUGAAAGUAUGAAUUUGACCAACAAAAAACUAAAUGAUUAAUUUAUUUUCAUUGGUCAAUUUAAUUAAUUUAUGUUUUUUAAUGAAAAUAUGACUCAAAAGAGAAUACUAAAUAAGUUUACUUACCAUGAUAAACUUAAACGUGAAAUCUAAAAUGGUGAAAUUCCUUUUGUUUAAAAACGAACUAUUUAAAAAUAUAAAAAAAAUUCCAAAUAAAUUAACUGAACCAUCAUUAUGUCCUCCACUUGUUCCCCUUCUCUUUUCCUUUUUUUUUUUUUCUUCUUUUCAUUUUAAUUUAUUUUUGUUUCGAAUUUCUUUAUGUCAGUUUAUUUCUACACGGUAAAAGUAUAAUAUUAAACAUAAAUUAAUAUAAUUUAUACUUUUAAAAUAAAAAUAAAAAUAUUAUAGUGUGAGAUAAAUAAUAUCUAAAUAUAUGUAAAAAAAAUUCAUACGUCAAUGCCCCUUUUCGCGAAAAUUGUUACUCCAUCUGUCCCACUUUAUAUGUUCACUUUCAUUUUUAUUCUAUAUUAAAUAACAAUUUAUCUUUAAAAUAUCAACUUUACCCUUAAUGUAAUGAUUUAUAACCAUACAACCUCUAUCAUUAUUUUAGAUAUGUGAAAUUAGGGUUUGGGUAUAACUCACACCUCAAAAGCUAGUACAAAGGGACCAGGAUUGCCUUGAGACUUUAGUCCACCCAUCUCAUUGACCCCUUAUGUGAGACUUUUGUUAUUCUUAACACCCCAACUCACGCCCACUAGUUAGCAUUUGUUGCGUGGACAAUUUUUUAUUUUUGAGGGCUCCAACAUUGGGUGAGAUGAAUCCUGCUCUGAUAUCAUGUAAAAUUAGGUCUUGAGUCUAACUCACACUCCAAAAGCUAACUCAAAGGAAAGAGGAUUGUUCAAGCCUUAUAAGGAGUUCACACUAUCUCAUUAACCACAAAUGUAGAACUUUUGUUAUUCUUUAACAAGAUCACAAGUUUCAAAAGUUUUUUUUAUUUCUUAAGUUUUGUGCCAAGUCAAACUAAGAGGGUGUUUGGAUCGACUUAUAAGUUAGUCAAACCUAUUUUUAAGUUAGUUUUUUAUUUUUGAAAGUGUUUGAUAAAUACUCCCUCCGUCCAACAAUAGUUGUUUAGUAUACUAUUUUGGGAUGUCCAACAAUACUUGUCCACUUUAUGAAAUCAAUGGAUAAUUUUACACUUAGUUCUUAAUUUACCCUUAUCAUUAAUUAUAGUCAUUUCCUUAUUACAUUUUUCAAGACAUUGUGUUUAUUAUAUUCAAAGGGUGAUAUAGUAAAAUUACCUUUUUAUUUAUAGUUUCUUAAGGGGUGUGUCAAGUUAAUAGUGGACAAUUAUUGUUGGAUAGAGGGAGUAUAAAAAUAACUUAAAAUAAGUUAGGAAGUGUUCGACAAGGUAAUUAUAAAUAACUUAAAAUAAGUUAAAAACCAAAAGUAGGUCUCCCCGUACUUUUUAUUUUUUUUGACUUAAAAGUAAGUUAAAUUUGACAUUGACUUAAAAGCUACUGUUAUUAAGUCAAUCCAAAUGGGAUAUAACUCAUAUAAAAUGAGGCGGAGCUAUAAGUGGAGGUUCAUGGAUUCGGACGAACCAACUAGCUUUUCUGUAGAUCAUGUAUUUAUAAUAGAAAAUUAAAUAAAUAUAUAUUUAUAUUAAUAUGUGAACCCCUAAUAAAAUUUAUUUAUAGCUUAGUGGUAGGUAAAGGUUGUGAAAAUGCUUUUCACAUCUAGUGUUGUGGAUUUGCAAUAUUUGUUUCUUUUAUUUUAAAAUUUAGAACCCCAAAUUCUUAAUCCUAGCGCUAGCGGAGGAAGUAGCAUCUAUUAUGCAUGGAAUUAGCAUAACCACGUGAAAAUAAUUGGCUAAGAAUACAGCUAAUAGUAAUUAAUAUACAUGGGUCCACCUUUCUAUAUCAAAAGAGGGAGUAUUUAACAAAACAAUGAAUGUUGAGGUCCCAUAUAUUUCCAACAUUUUACAAGUGGAAGGUAGUCCUUCAAUUUUUAUGUGAGCUAACACCACAAUUACAAGACCCAAGGAAAAGAAUGUGUAUACGAUUGAUUAAUCAGUAAAGACGGCUAGCAAACUUCCCUUUGGAACUCUCAUAAAACAAGGAGAUAAAGAUUAAUCUCGCACUAAAUUCGGGGCGAAUUCAGGAUUUAAAGACAACGGAUGCAUCAUCCAUGGCUAAUGCACGUUGGUUAAAGCAUGUACCCAAUAUCGAUUCAUAUGAUAAUUUUAUUAAACAUAAAAAUAUAAAAUGGUUAUAUUACCGUAUAAAUAUAAAUUAAAUGACUCAUUUAAAUAAAGUUUGCUUAGUGGAGUAAUGAUUUAAUUUUAAAUUUCACUUUACAUCAUGAACUAGUCAUCCCCUUAUUUUAUUUGAUGUUUUUAAGCUUCACGCGAGCCAAAUCGACUUUAGUAUCUUUGAAUGCCUAAUAAAAUAUGUCUAUCUCAAAGUAUAUAUAUAUAUAUCACACGUGGGUCCGCCUCCGACUAAAUCAUACAAGUAAUCGCAUUACAUUGCAAAGAGAAAUCCGAGGAAAAGCCUUUCAAAUUAAUCUAUUACAUUUAAUAUGUUUUAUUAAGCUAAUUAGGAGUACAAAAUAUGAAAAUUCAGGUGAUAUUUACCUUACUUUUUAGCUAACAUGGCCGACAAAGUUGGAUGAUUUUUCUUUGACAAAGUGAUUUUUUUAUAUGAUAAACUUGGAGUAAUCUCUCUAUUCUUAAUUACUUGUCCACUUUUUCUUUUUUAGUUGUUUCUAGUUACUUGUUCAUUUUGACAAAUCAAAAAAGGAAAUUUGUUUUUACUUAUUAUACCCUUAAUUAAUUAUUUUGAAAAAGGUAGAACUUCUUGAAAAUCUUAAGUUUUUUAAUUCAUCUAAUUCAUAAUUAAUAAUGAUAAAAUAGUAAACUCACUCAAUUUAUUUAUUUUUAAUAGAUAUGUCAAUUCAAAAGUAAACAAGUAAUUAGAGACGGUUGGAGUAGAAUGUACUAACUGGACAGUGAAGCGCAUAAGAGAUGGAACAAACACCACCAUCAUAAAACAAUCACUAAUAUUCAUGGGCCAUGGGUGCCUUUAAUAUGUGCAUGUGUAACAUACAGCUCCACUCAUUUUAAAGGAAAUGAAUUAUUAAAGAGAUUUAGCUAAAAUAUUGAUUGAGACGGUGAAAACUUUUAAACUCCUCAACUAUCAAGAGAAAGAGAAGAGAUUAAUUUUAAUUCAUAUUUAGGUAAUACAUUCUUUGAUACUUCCUAUUUUUGGCAACUCAUUACUCAUCCAUGUAACAACUUGAUUGUUGACCAUUCCUCCAAUCAUGGCUACAAUAUAAAGCAGAGGAAGUUCAUUUUUUUCUUAAACGAUAAAGAUGAAAUUUGGGAAAGAAUAUGCAUCCCAAAUGGUCCAUGAAUGGCAAGAAGCCUACAUGGAUUAUAAUUAUCUCAAAAGUCUUUUGAUGGAAAUCUUGAAUUUCAACAAGAAAAAUGCACCAUUACCUGAAGUUGCAGCCACUCCAAGAGGGUCCUUAAAGAGAAGGCUAUCUAUGUACAGAGCAUUUAAUGGAUUACAAAUUAGAUACAACAGUUUCAAAGGGAAAAAUAAUCAUGAAGAUGAAGUGAUAGUAGUGAAUUCAGUGCAGCAAGAGGGAUCUGAAUGUCACUAUGAAACCACCUUCCUCGUGUCUUGUGAAGAAGGCGGAAAAUGUGAGCUGAUUUUCUUUAGGACAUUGGAUGAUGAAUUCAAUAAGGUGUUAACUUUUUACAAGAAAAAAGUAGGGGAAGUUAAGGUUGAGGCUGAUGCGUUGAGUAAACAAAUGGAUGCACUUAUUGCUCUAAGAAUCAAGGUUGAUAAGAUUUCAGUCGGAGCACAAAGUGUCCAAGUCAUCGAUCCUUUUAGCAAUGAUGAUAGUGUUUUGUCUCCAGCAUCAGUGGAUCCUAUGCAUUUUAGUAGUCCAGGUAAGUCCAAUCUUAUGGCUAUUAUGUUACUGUUCCGUCUUUUGGUGGGAAAAUAAGUUACCAUUCAUGCCCUCAGUAAUUUGCUUUUGACAGUAAUGUAGAGUGAUUUGAAACCAUCAUAAGAGAUGUUUUAGCUGUUGAAACUUGCUUGAUUGCUCUUUAAUUUGUUCGAAUUCUUGUUUAACCCCAAGAUAGGUAGACCACAUAUGGAGGUAAUUCAAGAAGUUGAGAUGACCAACGAAGAAAUACUGGAAGAGGAGGCAAUUCAAGAAGUUGAGAUGACAAGUGAAGAAAUUCUGGAAGAGGAAGCAACAAUAGGGAAAAGAGAUCCUACAAAGAUGAAUCCCAGCAAUUUUAAGCCAGCUCCACUAGAGGUUCUUGACUAUGUGAAAAUCAAUAUUGAACCCGAAACACCUAUCUCAACUUUAAGAUGUAUCAUGACUUCAAAACCAAACCUAUCAUUCAGCAAAGAAGAGCUCAGAAAAGUCGAAGAACAAAUGAAAAAGGCUUUUGUUGAGUUCUAUCAAAAGCUGAGACUUCUAAAAAGAUACAGGUGAUGUUGCAUUUUUACCCUCAAAAGAGGAGUUACUGCUGUUUUUGUGCUCAAAUCAGCUCAUACUUUGCCACUAAUUUUUUACCAGUUCCUUAAAUGUGUUGGCAUUUUCCAAGAUCAUGAAGAAGUAUGAUAAGGUACUAUACUCAUGAAGUUAUCACUAUUUGACAUAGAAAGUUACGAAGUUUUGCCAAGUAACCUUGCAAUUUAUUGAUACAGAUCAGUUCAAGGAAAGCUUCUAAAUCAUACUUAGAGGUGAUUGAAAAAUCUUAUCUUCGUAGCUCGGAUGAGGUACAUUUUCCUUCAAUUUCAAAAAUUGUUUUCCUCUCAGCACUAUUCCACUUGUGACUAUAGUUUGAACUGAUCAUCAAUCUUUUUUUGUUUUUUUUGUUUUAGGUUUCUAAGCUCAUGGAAGGAGUCGAAGACACUUUCAUAAAGCAUUUUGUCGAUGGAAAUCGAAAGAAAGGAAUGAAAUAUUUAAGACCACAAGCACAACGAGAAACGCAUAGAGUAACAUUUCUCCUUGGUAAGAUGCAUCCUUAUUAGCAUCGGUCAUAUGUUCAUUUCAGUAACUGAUAUACUUAUAAUACUUUUCACCUACAGGUUUGUUCUCUGGCUGCUCAUUAGCAUUAGUAGCAGCAAUUGCUGUAUCGAUACGUGCAGGAAACCUUCUAGAGAACGAGAGUCGAGGACAGUUUAUGGAAAACAUAUUUCCACUGUACAGGUGAACUAAUCAUCUUUCGUUUGUAGUCAUAUUGAUUCUUUCCGUUUGUCUAUAUACAAGAAAAACCUAUGUUUUCAGCACUAUAUAUAUAUAUAUAUGAGUAAUGAAUUAAGGUGUGUCUUUGCAGCCUAUUCGGAUUCGUUGUCCUGCAUAUGGUCAUGUACGGGGCAAAUAUAUACUACUGGAGGCGUUUUCGAGUCAAUUAUCCCUUCAUAUUUGGCUUCAAGCAGGGAACAGAGUUAGGUUACAGACAAGUUCUCCUCCUUGCUUCUGGUCUUUCGUUACUUGCAUUGGCUGCUGUACUCUAUCAUCUGGAUAUGGAUAUUGAUCCGGAAACACGAAGUUUCCAGACAGUGACUGAGCUGACCCCACUUGCCCUGGUGAUUGUAAGUCUAGAAAAACACUACUUCUUCUUUUACUUACAUUCAACAAUUAUUCUAUAGACUAUACAACAUGUUUCAAAUUUUGAACCUCCUAAUGAUCUUAAAAUCUUUUUUCAGGUUCUGCUUCUAAUAACUUUUUUUCCUCUGAACAUCAUAUAUCGUUCAAGUCGUUUCUUCUUUAUAAGAUGUGUCUGGCGCUGUCUGUUGGCUCCCCUUUAUAAGGUACCAGCAGUUUGUUUAAGAGAUAUACAGAUUCACACACAUUAAUAUAACAGAACUUACAUAGAUAGUAAAAUGUCUCACAUCAUUUUGCAGGUUACUCUACCAGAUUUUUUCUUGGCAGAUCAACUUACUAGCCAGGUUUGACACAUGAACUUCUAUGUUAUACAAAGAGAGGAUCCAAGAAGUUGACAAUUCAGUCAGUGUAAUGUGCAAAUUUUGAAUGAUAGAAGUAUAAUGAGGUCUUGCAUUUCAGGUUCAGGCAAUUAGGAGUUUACAAUUCUAUGUCUGCUACUAUGGGUGGGAAAACUUCAGAGAAAGAUCAAAUACAUGUCAAGAGAGCAAAAUUUACCCAAUCUUAUACAUAUUCCUCGCAAUUAUUCCCUUUUGGUCUCGGUUUAUUCAGGUUUGAGAAUUUUUACACAAGAAAAAUGAUCAUUCUAACAAUAGUUAUCUUGACAAAUAUUUGAUAUGAUGCUUUGAAUGACUUCAUGAUAUACAGUGUCUUCGUCGCUUAUUUGAAGAGAAAGAUUCGAUGCAGGGGUUUAAUAGCCUCAAAUAUUUAUCAACAAUUGUUGCUCUUGUAAUGAGGACACUAUAUGAUCAGAAGAGAGGAACCUUUUGGAAAGUAAUGGCAGCAUCAACUUCAGGAAUUACUACAGUUGCAAACACUUAUUGGGACCUUGUCGUAGAUUGGGGUUUAUUGCAAAGGAAUUCCAAAAACCCCUGGUUGAGAGACAAGCUACUUGUGCCAUACAAGAUUGUCUACUUUGUUGCCAUUGUAAGUAGGUUUCAAAAAUCAACAACUAUAAAAAUAACUUGCAUGCAGCGGAUGUUUUUGAUUAUUUGAGUGUAAAUAUUGCAGGUUCUUAACAUUAUUCUGAGACUAGUAUGGAUGCAGUUGGUUCUAGAUUUUGAACAACUGCCUUUUUUGCAUAGGAGAGGAUUUAUUGCAAUUGUUGCCUGUUUGGAAAUCCUUCGCCGAGGCAUGUGGAACUUUUUCAGGUCAGAUGGAUGCAUUCAUUAUCUAUUGAGUUUAAUUUCUUUCUAAACUAAAACUGGAAUUAGCGUUUGUUUGUUUUAUUUGACAACAAAUUAAACUACUCCUUUUCUCUAACAUUCAGGUUGGAAAAUGAACACUUAAAUAACGUUGGGAAAUAUCGUGCCUCCAAGUCUGUACCCCUGCCUUUCAACUACGACGAAGACAAGAGUCUGUAAAAUGAAAAUCAAAAGAAUCAGCCACAGUAGUUGUUUGAUUCAUUCAUAUAAUAUAAGUUAGUUUUGUUAAUGAAAUUAUUGAGUGAAUUAAGUUAAGGUAUAGGACAAAAAGAAAAUGACAACAGUGAAGAUCUACUGCUACAGUCUAAUCCUUAAUGUAAUUAUGUGCUCAUGAAAAUAAAUUCAGCUUGACUAUACUACAAUUGCAGCUUUUCGCAAAAAUUCUUUGAUUCAACGCUAUCCGCUCACCUUUCUUCAUCGAUAUCAAAACAGUUAUUAUUAUCAUGUACAAUAAGUCUCCAAUCAAACGUAAGUGAAUACGUCGUCGUAUAUGACAAAUGAAUACAUAGUAGUAUUUAUUUAAUCAGUAAAGACGGCCAACAUAAUAUAUACUCUUUUUCUAUAUGAAAAUUGAAUAAUAGAAUUGAGAACAGACCAGAAAAUCUACACUUAACAUCCAAUAAGAAAUUGCUAAUCCUUGUUAACAGGAAAUAAAUUUUCACCACUUUCUUUAAAUAAACCGAUAAUAAAGAAAAAUAAUUGUUUUCUAGAUAAUUUUAAAAAAAGUUAAGAAUUAGGCGGGUGAAGUCAUAAUAGGUAAUUUUUCCUAAUUAUAUUCUAGAAUCUCAACACGCCCUUAUGUUCCCCUUACGUGUGAGCCGGAUUUUUUUUUUAAAAUUCUUUUAAUAUUAUAAUAGGUCAUUUUUUCCUAAUUAUAUUCUCAAAUCUCAACACGCCCCCUUGCGUGAAAAUUCUUUUGAUAUUAUAAUAGGUAAUUUUUCUUCUUGAAUCUCAACACGCCCCCUUACGUGUGAGUCUGGUUCUUUUUUCAUGGGUCAAGCACGUGAAAAUUCGUUUGAUAUUGAUGGCGGAGAGAAUCGAUCUCAGAACCUAUGUCUGUUUUAAUACCAUGUUGAAGUAUGUGACCAUCUCAUCUAAAAGCUUAAGUUAUUAGAAAAAACACAUCUUUAUUAUUUAAUUAUAUAUUCUAAAUGAAGUAAUGGCCCGUCCAUUUAUCAAUUUUGACUCUCUUAUGUUUAUUUCAACUCGCUCAUUUAACUCAGAGAAUAUACAUACAAUAUUUUAAUUAAUAAAAUACUAGAAUUUUGUAAAUGAUUUCUUCUAAAUUUAAAAUUAAAGAUGAAAAGAUGGUGGGAAAAUCUUUGUGUAUACCAAAGAGGAUCAUCAGUACACCUAAUUUCUUUGUUUCUUUUUUGUUGGGUACGACAGUCGAUAUGCAUUUUGAAAUGUUGAACGAACGGCCCAAGAAAAGUACAAGAUUUUAGAACGACGACUUCAAUCAUUAAUAAUUGAAAGUUCAAUGAGUUUUAUUAACAUAAACACAUUGUUUGAAUAAAUGAUAUUGGAUUUGACCAAAUCGAUAUCUGAACCUUUAGCUCCAACGUUGACCUUAUAUUCACUUUUCUUUGUUAGAACACAUGAAUAGUAGAAUGGAAUUAGUCCUCUAAUACAAUACAGUUUAGAAUAUGUUAGUAUGCACGACCUAGUAAUUUACUAAUUUUAACUUUUCGCCUAAGUGUGAAACAGAUUGCCUAACGUGUUCCAACAAAACAGUAAGGACAGUAAGUAAAAUCACAAUAUUUUACGUGGAAAACACCCGGCUCAAAAGGUGUAAAAAAACCACGACAUGUACCCCUACAGGAUUUAACUCCAACUUUACUAAAUCACUGAGCCUCCACAAAAGAUAGAUUACAAACUUUGCAACCUACCUUAACUUCAAGUUAUGGAUUUAGAUUACAACUCUUGUAAUCCUAGAAACUAACUCUAAUUCCUAACCUUCAACACAAACCUCCCAAGGUAUGUGUUCCCAACUCUUCGAGUUAUCACAACCUGAAGACAACACUUCUAAUUCAGUUUAUAACUCACUGAACUAAGAUUACAUCAAAACUCAAUCACAAAGAAAAACUCCUAACACAUAAACUCUGUAGAAGGAUUAGGUUCUUCGAUGUGUUCCUUCUAUUCACCGGUAGCACUUGUGAAGUCAACUUCUCAAUUGCUCUGUAAGUGCACAAGUAUUCUGGAUGACUUCACCUCUAUUUAAGCACAAUUCUUCAUAGAAUUAUUGUUUACUUCAAACUCCUCAUUGACUUGAACUCUCUUGACUUAGAGUUCUACUUCAAGUAAAACUCAUUAUUCAAUUCAAACUUCUUGCUUCUUUAGACUCCUUCUUCAAAUUACAUUCAUUGAUUCUUUUGUAUUGUAGUCAAACUCCAACACUUCAAUUCAGCAGUAACUUGAAGAGUACUACUUUAAGUAAGACUCAUUCUUCAAUUGUUAGUGAAAACUUACAAGAUAACAAAAAUACAAUAUUACAAUUGAAAAUAAAUAUGAAGAAAAUAAAUCUCUUCAGGCUGAGGCGCGGAUAUCUCGCUUUCUUUAAGGAGAUUCAGGCCCACUGCAGCAAAUGUUUUCACCAGUCCAACAAUAGUCCUUCUUGACUUGUCCCCUCCAGGAUACAACAGCCUAAUCACAAAAUAUAACUCAACAACUCUGGACAAGAGUUGAGUCUAAAACUCCACAAAAAGAACACCUCCCUUCAACUAAUAAGAACUCUCUUUUUUGACUAACUCUUUCACUCUAUAUUUUUCUAGUGUGUUGUAUCUCACAAACCAAAUGAAGACCACUAUUUAUACUACAAGAAGUCUUCCUAGAAUUGAAUAGGAAGAUAGUGGUGUAGUAAAUAGUGAAGAUAAAUGGCCUAGAGGUUACAUAUGUUACAUAGGUUACAAAGAAUAAUGAAAGAGUAAAGAAUGAUAAUGAAGAAAUAAUAUGGAGAAGUAAUGGUCUUGGAAGACCACGUCCAAGGCAGUAAGCAAACGGCUAGUCAGUAGCCUAGGCAAUUAAGCCUAAAAGGCAUUUACACCAAAUGUGAGUAAUUAGGCACAAAUGCCUACCAACGGUAGCAAUGAAACUGCCCACUAACUGUUGAAACAAUCAGCAUCUUUCUAACUCCAAAUUAUAGCAAAUUAAUAUAUUAAACUAUUAAUAUUAAAAUGCUAAUAAACCAACAAUCCCCCACUCAUUUUAAUAUUAGAUAAGAGAGUCUAUCAGCUGAAGGAAGAUUACUAUGCAUAAUGAAGGUGUGCUCUGCAUUGAACCUCCACUUAGUGAAACAGUAACUUUUACUCCAGAGUGGUAGUGGUCUCAGACUUGAACUAUGAUUGCUUAAGGGAAAUAAAACAUCACUGCUCACAGGAUGCGACCUACUUCCACACAUCACAUAGGUGAAAUCUAUCGAGAGUGCUCCUGUAAGCUUAACACUCCACCCAUACGGGCUACAGAUAUUCAUUAAGAAUUUUAUCAACUCAACCUUCACAAACUACAGGAAACAAUGCACUCACAUCAUAGGGAGGGAAUAAAAAGAUAGUGCAUUUUUCACAACAAGUCAUCAUAUGAUUAGUUUUUCCUUUUGAACCUGGUUAUAGGAUCUCUAGUCUCCAGGUUGGGUUUCCUCAUAUAUGACUCAAGGAUCUGUAGGCUUCAAUCCCAUCCCCCUCGAUAUGCUCCAGACCUUUUCUCUUGUUAACGCCUUAGUUAGAGGAUCUACAAGAUUAUCACAAGAUUUGACAUAAUCAACAUUAAUGGUACCAUUUGUCAAAUAUGAUCUUACAUUAUUGUGUUUCCUCCUUAUAGGUCUAGAUUUACCGUUGUAGUAACGGUUUUGAACUCUACCAAUCGCAGCGGUGCUAUCACAAUGAAUUAAAAUAAGAGGAAUUGGUUUUUCAAAAUAAGGUAUUUGAAAUAACAAUUUCUUAACCAAUUCGCUUCCUCACUAGCUGAAGCUAAAACAAUUAGUUCAGCCUCCAUGGUAGAGUAAGCAAUAAUAGUUUGCUUUUUUUUAUCUCCAACAAACAACACCACCACCUAAAAUAAAGACAUAACCAGUGGUAGAACAUGAAUCACCUGAUAAAGUGUUCCAAUCUGCAUCACAAAAGCCUUCAAGUACAGCAGGAUAUUUUUUAUAGAACAAACCACAAUUUUUCGUUCCAAUUAAUAUCUCAUAACUCUUGUUACAUCAUGCCAAUGUUCAUUACCUAGCUUGCUUGUAAACCUGUCAAGUACUCCUACUACAUAUGCAAUAUCAGGCCUAGUACAAUCAGUCAUGUAUCUCAAACUUCCGAUUAUGCUAAUAUAUUCCUUUUGAUUUAUUAUAUCAUUUUCACUUUCAACAGGAAAUAAGUGAACACUUGAAUCAAAAGGAGUAGCAACAUGUUGGCAAUCAAGAAAGUUAUAUUUUUUCAAAAUUUUCUCAACAUAAUGUGACUGGUCAAGGAAAAUUCCAUCACAUAUUCUUGUUAUUUUAUUCCAAGAAUAAAAUUUAGCCUCACCAAGAUCUUUCAUAUCAAAAUGGCUUCUAAGAAUUAUUUUUAGCUUCAUCAAUAACAUUUAUGUUAGAGCCAAAGAUCAAUAAAUCAUCAACAUAUAGGCAAAUAAUCACAUGUGAAUUAUUCCAAGACUUAUGAUAUAUACACUUAUCACACUCAUUUGUUUUAAAACCAUUUUCAAUCAUGUAAGAAUCAAACUUUUCAUGCCAUUGCUUAGGUGCCUGUUUCAAGCCAUAUAGGGAUUUAGUAAGUUUACAUACUUUGCUUUCUUGGCUUGCUUCAACAAAAGACUCGGGUUGAUCCGUAUAAAUUUCCUCAUUUAGGUCUCCAUUUAAAAAAGCAGUUUUUACAUCCAUUUGAUGAAUAUGCAAAUCAAAAAUUGCAGCCAUAGCAAUUAAAAGUCUUAUGGAUGUAAUUCUUGUCACCGGUGAAAAAGUAUCAAAAAAUUUUAGGCCUUCUAGUUAUUUAAAACCUUUUGCAACAAGCCUAGCCUUAUAUUUAUCAAUAGAUCCAUCCGGUUUCAACUUUUUUCUUAAGACCCAUUUGCAACCAAUAGUUUUACAACCCGGUGAUAAAUCAACUAGUUUCCAAGUUUUAUUAGAAAUUAGUGAUUCCAUUUCAUCAUUUACAGUCUCUUUCCAAAAUAUAGAAUCAUGUGAAGAUAAUGCUUCUUUCAAAGUAAGAGGGUCAUCUCCAACAUUAAACACAUAAAAAUCAGGACCAAAAUCUUUUUCUACUCUAGCUCUUUUACUUCUUCUUAACUCAAAAUCAUCAAUUUCUUUAUGUUUCAAAGUAGAAGUAGAAGAAUUAGGUAGUGACAAAAUAUUUUGUUCAAUCCUUUGACCCCCACUAUUUUUAGAAUCAAAAGGAAACUUAUUUUCAUGAAAAAUAGCAUUACCUGAUUAUAUCACUAUAUUAUCUUCAAGAUUAAAAAAUCUAUAGGCUAUACUAUUUGAAGCAUAACCAAGAAAAACACAAGUAGUAACUUUCUUACCNNNNNNNNNNNNNNNNNNNNNNNNNNNNNNNNNNNNNNNNNNNNNNNNNNNNNNNNNNNNNNNNNNNNNNNNNNNNNNNNNNNNNNNNNNNNNNNNNNNNNNNNNNNNNNNNNNNNNNNNNNNNNNNNNNNNNNNNNNNNNNNNNNNNNNNNNNNNNNNNNNNNNNNNNNNNNNNNNNNNNNNNNNNNNNNNNNNNNNNNNNNNNNNNNNNNNNNNNNNNNNNNNNNNNNNNNNNNNNNNNNNNNNNNNNNNNNNNNNNNNNNNNNNNNNNNNNNNNNNNNNNNNNNNNNNNNNNNNNNNNNNNNNNNNNNNNNNNNNNCCUAAACUACUCAUGAUUCCAACAUAACGAUCAUUAAUAUGACACAAACGAGCAUGCCAAAAAUUGGUAGAAGAAAGCAUGUAAACAGAAGUAGAAGUUUUAUUCAUUUCAACAUUCAAUUUGAACAUCCCAUCACAUGCAUACCCCUUUCCCACAAAAAUACCCUUCUUCACUAUUACAUAUUGAUUAGACUCAAUAAUCUGUUUAAAGCCUGCUUUAUUAAGAAGAAAACUAGACAUCAAAUUUUUCCUCAUAGAAGGAGUAUAAAGUACAUCUUUCAAAGUUAAUACUUUUCCAGAAGUAAAACACAAUUCGACAUCUCCCUUUCCGCAUUUGAGAGUUGUGUGGGAAUCACCAAGCAUGAUGGUUUUGGGCUCCUCAAAAUGAGUAUAUUUUUUAAACCAGUCUUUGUCAUAACAGACAUGACGGUUUGCACCAGAAUCAGCCCACCAUCCAUCAACACUCUCAACCAUGUUUAUGUCGGUAAUCACCGCNNNNNNNNNNNNNNNNNNNNNNNNNNNNNNNNNNNNNNNNNNNNNNNNNNNNNNNNNNNNNNNNNNNNNNNNNNNNNNNNNNNNNNNNNNNNNNNNNNNNNNNNNNNNNNNNNNNNNNNNNNNNNNNNNNNNNNNNNNNNNNNNNNNNNNNNNNNNNNNNNNNNNNNNNNNNNNNNNNNNNNNNNNNNNNNNNNNNNNNNNUAUGUCGGUAAUCACCGCCACAAAAGGUUCUUCGGUAACGUUUGCCUGAGGGUUAGGACCACGUUUCCGGAAUCUGCAAAAUCGAGCAGUAUGCCCACUCUUGCCACAAACAAAGCACGGUCCUUUGUCUUGAACUUGUUGAUUUUGUGCUUGGUUAUUUUCACCAUUAUUUUUCUUGGGAGGUCUACCAUUAUUUUUCUUGAACUUUUUCUUCUUAGGCUUCAAAGAAGUAUUUUUGUGAGUUUCAGGAGUAGCAUUGUUUGAAGUAAUUAAAUUUACCUUCGUUGUGAUGUUGUUCUCUUCUGUUUGUAAAAGUGCAUCUUGGCCCCUAGCCUCUUCUUCCAUGCGGAUUUUCAUUAUCAAGGUUUCAAGGGAGGUUUCCUUUUGUUUGUGGCGCAUAGUUUUUUGAAAUUCCUUCCAAGAAGGUGGAAGUUUAUCUACUAUGCCACAAACAAUUAUGUUAUCUCCAAUUUUUACCUCCUCGGACCUUAGCUCUCCAACAAUCAUUAUAAAGUCUUGAGCUUGGUCUACCACUGAUUUGUUGUCCACCAUUUGGAAACGAAAAAAUCUACUAGCCGCAUAUUUUUUCGCUCCAGCCUCUUCGGUAUCAUACUUACUCUGCAAUGAUUUCCAAAUUUUCUUUGCACUAAAGUAAGUUAUAUCAUAAUAAUCAUAAAAAUUAUCAUAUAGACAAUUAAGAAUAUAAUACCGACACUUAUAGGAAUCACCAUCAUACUUUUCCACUUUCUCUAGAUGAGAAAUAGUUUCAUCAUCAUUCAUAGAGGUGAUGUCUACUUUAUUAGGAUCCUUCUCCGUCAACACAUAAGAAACAUUGAGAAGACUCAAGUAGAAAAGUACUUUACCCUUCCAUCGCUUAUAAUGGUUACCAUUGAACCGAAAUGGCUUGUUAAGGUCUCCCAUCUUGACAUCCGCAUUUUUUUCAAUUGUAGCCAUUUUGAAUCUCCUUAAAAUUGUUAGUGAAAACUUACAAGAUAACAAAAAUACAAGAUUACAAUUGAAAAAUAAANNNNNNNNNNNNNNNNNNNNNNNNNNNNNNNNNNNNNNNNNNNNNNNNNNNNNNNNNNNNNNNNNNNNNNNNNNNNNNNNNNNNNNNNNNNNNNNNNNNNNNNNNNNNNNNNNNNNNNNNNNNNNNNNNNNNNNNNNNNNNNNNNNNNNNNNNNNNNNNNNNNNNNNNNNNNNNNNNNNNNNNNNNNNNNNNNNNNNNNNNNNNNNNNNNNNNNNNNNNNNNNNNNNNNUACAUAUGUUACAUAGGUUACAAAGAAUAAUGAAGGAGUAAAGAAUGAGAUAAUGAGAGAGGCAACUAAUGUCAUCAAUGGCUGAAAGAAUGAGAUAAUGGAGAAAUAAUAUGGAGAAGUAAUGGUCUUGGAAGACCACGUCCAAGGCAGUAAGCAAACGGCUAGUCAGUAGCCUAGGCAAUUAAGCCUAAAAGGCAUUUACACCAAAUGUGAGUAAUUAGGCACAAAUGCCUACCAACGGUAGCAAUGAAACUGCCCACUAACUGUUGAAACAAUCAACAUCUUUCUAACUCCAAAAUAUAGCAAAUUAAUAUAUUAAAAUAUUAAUAUUAAAAUGCUAAUAAACCAACAUCAAUUAAAACUCCUUGCCUCUUUAGACUCCUUCUUCAAAUCAAACUCAUUGAUUCUUUCUCUUCAAUUCAUCAGAUGUUUAUUUCCUUGGGUUUUCUCACGAAAUUAACAUUAUCCAUUCCUUUAUUUCUGCACUCUUGUCUUUGUUCAUUCUAAAAGUUUUCUCGAAUUUAACUGCUCGUGACAGUGCACCUUUGGACCAUAUUGACUGACAUGUUUCGUCUUUCUUUGUCAAUCAUCACAACUGCAUAAAUCCCAACAAAAUAAUACGUCUAAAGUCAAAUCAAACGACAAUUACACGCUUAUUUUCUUGCUUUGUUCUUUUCUUAAGUACAUAGAGCGGCCCACCAAAAACAUAGACCGAGGCAAAGGAAAUUAUUUGUCUAAUAAAGCCAUAUGAAUUUAAUACAUACAGUAUAUCGAUAUUGUAAAAAAAUAUUAUAGUAUUAUCAUAUUGUUUUUAUUUGUCAUAGUAUGUAACCUGUAUUAUUUUGAGAUAAGGGUCUGAAAAAUAUCUCAACUUUGGUCGGAUUUGUUGUUGCGAUACUAAACUUUCAUGAGGACCUAUUACCUCCCUAAACUAUUUAAUACCGUAUUUUAAACAUAUAUAUUUGCCCAGGUGGACAUAAAAAAUAAUGCAAAAUUAUAAAUAGUAAUGUGUCCAUGUGGGCACAUAUAUACCUUUAAAAUACACUAUUAAAUAGUUCAGGGGGUAAAAAAUACGGUAUUAAAUAGUUUAGGGAGGUAAUAGGUCCUCAUGAAAGUUUAGUAUCGCAACAGCAAAUCCGACCAAAGUUAAGGUAUUUUUCAGAACAUUAUCCCUUUUCAAAUUAUAAAUUCCAUUUUUUAUGAAAUAAGUUGUUUGUAAAUAUCUUUUUGAUUAAUUUGAUUUGUCAAAGAUCAUUUAUAAGCUUUUAGAUGGACGAAAAAUUAGAAGGAAUUAGUUCUAUAUAUAACGAUGGAAAAGCAUGAAGUAGCUAAUAUGGAGUAUUGGUCUAUAACACGUUGUUUUGAUUUUCUCGUGAAUUUGACUGUCCAUUUAUUGUGUGGACUUUGUCAUAUUGUUUGAUUCUCUCAUGUUAUAUAAAUUCCAAUUACAACUUGGUCCACAAAUAAAAUAUCACUUUGAUUAUUCGAAUGAAAUAAUAGAAGAAACACAAAAUAAUGAUGAUAAAAGUUAGAUGAAGAAUUAUUAACCUUUGAUCAAGAAGAAGAUCAAAAGUUUUUUUUUUUUUUUUUUAAACUCCCUAGGAGUAUUGGUCUAUAACACGUUGUUUUGAUCUUCUCGUGAAUUUGACUGUCCAUUUUAUUGUGUGGUCUUUGUCAUAUUGUUUGAUUCUCUCAUGUUAUAUAUAUUCCAAUUACAACUUGGUCCACAAAUAAAAUAUCACUUUGAUUAGUCGAAUGAAAUAAUAGAAGAAACACAAUAAUGAUGAUAAAAGUUAGAUGAAGAAUUAUUAACCUUUGAUCAAGAAGAACACCAAAAGUUUUUUUGUUUUUUUAAACUCCCUAGGAGCUCCCACCCCUUUUGUUCCCUCGGUGACUCGAACUUGCAAUCUUUGGGUUGAAAGUGAGGGGUGCUUACCAUCCGAGCAACUCCCUCUCGUCAGAAGAAGACCAAAAGUGAAUGUACAUAUGUCAAAAAAAAAGUACACAUCUUGUAAAAUUGAGUAUAUCUUAAUCGAUGGUUAUUCAACUUUAUUUAUCAUGCAAAUGUUAUUUUUAUGUAAUAUAUUUUGGUACAUAAAAGUUAGAAUUAUAAAAAAAUAAAAAUAAAAUCUGUAAUUCGUAAAUACCAUAUAAAAGCCAUCAUAUUUAAGUUUAUCAUAUAAAAGUAAUUUUUUCUAUUUAUUGUCACAUGAAAUCAUUUUAACAUUAACUAGAAAAUAAAUUUUACCUAAAUUUUUAAAUUUACGACCAAUGGUUAAAAUCAAUUUUCAAACUUCGAAAAUCUCAAUUUUAAGUCAAAGUGAAAAAUUAACUACAAUACAUAACCAAUCAUAUUUUUUAUUUUAAAAGACCCCCCACCCCCACCCCCCAAAAAAUUAAGAAAAGAAGAAAGACACGCACACCCAAACAGGUCCAUGGUGCAACAGUUUGCAAGAAGACGCAAUAAAAUUUGCCAGGAGGACCUAGUAUAGUGAUAGUGAUACAACAAAUAAUUUAAGAGCAUAAUUGAUGUGUAGGGGACCUUUCAAUCUCAUGAAAUUAAUUCUACUUUGUAGCUUAUAGUUAAAUCUAUUUAUAUACGAGUCAUACUAUGUCAUAUUGUGGAAUUAUUUUAUAUAUGUGUCUAUUACUCUCAAUCGAUAUCUUUGAAAGAACUUUUGGAGAAUAAAAGUCUAAAAAGAUUAAUUGAAUACUACAUCAUUUACUUUGACCUUAUGGUAAAUGUAUCAAUCAAUACUUGUGUAUGCUGUCACUGUUAGAGUCGAUGUGGAUAUAAAGUUAAUCUUUUGGUUUAGUUAGGUUUAUUUAUUUAUUACUUGAAUUGUAUAUGCAUAUAACAAAUAAAAGAAUUAAAAACUCAAAUCAUGACAUGGAUUGUGAAACGUUACAUCAUGUAUUUCAUUUUACGUACCUAUUAUAUUCUUAUCAAGUAUUUUAAAUACAUUUUUGUGAGGACUUUUUAGAAAACGUCCAAAAAAAAGUCAUUAGAAUAUAUAUAGGAAAAGGGUCAUAUUUGUUCAUCAACCUUCUUCUUUCACUGUUAAGACUUCCAAGUUCCAGCAUUUCUAGGUGAAAUCUGGUUGGAGUAAAACAUAAAAUAAUAUUCACAUAAAAUGAAAGAUUAUUUUAUAUACUAAUAUUUUGUCUGAAUUUACUUUAUCACAUAAAACCAGUAUUUUACAAUGAAUACACUAUCAUCCAUACAUAUCUAGAAAUCGGACAUUGCUCAAGCAUACGGCCUAUGGGAAGCCGAGACUAAUUUUUAAUUAAUUCUAGGAAAGAAAAUCACAAUUGAAUAUCACUUAACAAAAAUGGUAAUUGAAAAAAUAACUCUUUUGAUUUGAUAAUCAAGGACCGGUUGAGAUUAUUAAAAUUAGAAUAACAAAUGCAUCCCUCGUGAUUUGUACGCUAUUACAGAGUGAAGUUGUUCUCGCCAAAAAAAUAAAGGUUACAACGAUAGCAAAUUAUUAUGAAAUUAAAAAAAAAUGUCAACAACUUUGGGUAAUGGUGAAAGAAAGAAAGAAGAAAGUUUGGUUAAUGGUACAUUCUUAUCCAAUUGGAUCUUUUGACAGAGAUUUGAUGACACACUGCUUCAAUAUUAUACAAUAUCUACAAACUUGUCUAUUUGGAUGGUUUUAGUCAUCAUUUAUAUAAUUUGAAAACUACUACUUCACGUACUAAUUUUUUAUUUUAAUCCAAAGUAAAUGACAUUUUUAAUCAUCAACAACAAGGCAUUAUUUGUUUUCUUCUAAAUUUAUUACUCAUAUUUGAGUUUUUUUUUUACGUAGCUAAAAAACUAUUAGUAUUAUUUUUAUUAAUUAAAGGAAAACUCUUGUUAAAUUGAAGUUAAAAGCACUCUUUAAUAUAUAGGGGAGGAAGUAAAGUAAAGGUUGUUGAAAUUGGUGUGAUCCAGUAAACACGAAAUGAUCUCGUGUACAAUAAAAUGAAUGAAAAUAAUGAAAAAUUAAGUUGACAUUUAAAUAAAGGCAAAAAAUAUUAAGUACUAUAAUAUAUUUUCCUUUUCUAUCUAAGUAGAGCAGCUAGGACACAAACUGGCCAACCACCUUUAAUUAAGAUUUUGUACGUGCAUUAAAAAAAAUUACUUGAUUUCUCUCCCUUUUAAAUUUUAAUUUUUCAUGUCAUGUAGCAUAAUAUCAAAUAUAUUCUAAAAUAUUUUUUACUUUAUUAAAUUUCACGUCAAAUCAAAUUGAGACGAUGAGAGUACUGGAACGAAAAUAAAUGAGGUAAAGAUAGAAACCGUAAAGUUAGAAAUCUUAAAUGUGAUUUAGUUGUUAAUGGGGCAGUCAAUUAGUGAAUAGUUCAAAAUUGGCAACCAUUGUAAAGUGUGGUUCUGCCCAUUGUUGUUGUGAAGAGGCGAGGCCACCUCUGACACAGCCCCACAGUUCAGUGACUUUCUGGGUUGCUGCUGCUGCCAUUGUUAAACAAUAUUUCAAGCUCCGAAAUCCCUAAACUAAUCAAGAAAACAAAAAAGAAAAGCGGUUGAUUCUUGACCUUUUUCCACGACAUUCUUGGAAGCUUACUAGUUUUGGAGACCAACUUGAUUCUUGACCUUUUCUUCACUGACGGCUACAACCCCAAACCCAACAUUUUUAUAUAUACUCCAAUCUUUUUCAUUCUUGGUAAAAACAGAGAAAACCCCCACUUUUUUUUUAUCUUAAAGAAAAACCAAACAGUUUUGAUAAAGAUGAAAUUUGGGAAAGAAUUUACAUCCCAAAUGGUACCUGAAUGGCAAGAAGCCUAUAUGGAUUAUAAUUAUCUAAAAGGUGUGUUGAAAGAGAUAUCUUGUUUCAAGAAGAAAAAUGCACCAUUACCUGAAGUUGCAUCCACACCAAACGGCUCAUUAAAGAGAAGGAUAUCUAUGUACAGAGCUUUUAGUGGUUUACAAAGUAGAUUCAGUUUCAAAGGUUCACCUGGUAAAACUGACAAUGAAGAUGAAGAAGUUAUUUUAGUAAGUUCACUGCAACAAGAAGGGUCACAAGGACACCAUCAAACUAUGUUUCUUAUGUCAUCUGAACAAGGUGGAGAAUAUGAGAUGGUUUUCUUUAGAAGACUUGAUGAUGAAUUCAACAAGGUGAUAGCUUUUUACAAGAAAAAAGUAGAGGAAGUGAAGGAUGAAGCUGAUAAGUUGAGUAAACAAAUGGAUGCGCUUAUUGCUGUAAGAAUUAUGGUUGAUAAACCUUCAAUUGGUAUGCCUAGUGACCAAGUGAUGAUGGAUGAUGAUACUACUUUGUCUCCAGGAUCAGUAGUUCCUACUCAUAUAAGAAGUCCAGGUUAGUCCAAUUUCUCAAAUACUGAUUCCAUGUGUGACCUAUAUGUAAUUAGUUUGGAUUUGUGUUUAACCUCAAUACAGGUGGGUCACAUAUGGAGGCAAUUCAAGAAGUUGAGAUGACUGGUGAAGAAAUACUGGAAGAGGAAUCAACAUCAGGGAAUAGAGAUAAAGAAAAGAGGAAUCUCAUGCGUUUUAGGCCUUCUCCCAUAGAGAUUUUGGACAAUGUAAAAAUCAAUAUUGAUCCUGCAACACCUAUCUCGACUUUCAAAAAUGUGAUCAGGACUUCAAAAGCAAACUCAAAAUUCAGCAAAGAUAAGCUCAAAAAAGCUGAAGAGCAAAUGAAAACGGCUUUUGUUGAGUUCUAUAAAAAUCUUAGACUUCUGAAAAGCUACCGGUAAUGGUGCAAUUUUUUUCUCCCACUUGUAGUUGUUUUGGUGUUCAAUUUAACUAACACUUUGCUAUUUAUUGUAUUAGUUUAUUAAAUGUGUUGGCGUUCUCUAAGAUCAUGAAGAAGUAUGAUAAGGUACUACACUGAAGUUAUCGAUAACUAUUUGGCAAUAGAAAGUAGAAAUUUUUAGUUUUGCCUUUUAACACUGCAAUUUACUGAUACAGACUACUUCAAGGAAAGCUUCUAAAUCAUACUCAGAUAUGCUUGAUAAAUCUGAUCUUGGUAACUCAGAUGAGGUAUAUUUCCUUCGAUUAUUCCACUUGCAACUAUAAUUUGAAGUUUGAACUUCUCAUCAAUCUUUGCUUUUCCUUAGGUUAACAAGCUCAUAGAAAGAGUGGAGGUCACAUUCGUAAAACAUUUUGUCAAUGGCAAUCGAAGGAAAGGAAUGAAACAUUUAAGACCACAAGCUAAAAGAGAAACGCACCGAGUAACAUUUUUCAUGGGUAACAAUACAUCUUUAUUAGCAUCAACACUCUCUUUCUAUGUAAUCAAAGGCCGAGGACAGAUUCUGCUGGUUCAACUGAAGCUAUUGCAUUCAGUUUGAACUAAGUAAUGCAAAAUUAAAUUUUAAAUGAAUCAUCUUCAUCCGGGAUAAGUGCUUAACAAAAGUUUGUAUACUGCAUCAUAACCAUAUGUUCGUUUUAGUAACUGAUAUACUUUUCACCUACAGGUUUGUUCUCUGGCUGCUCAAUAGCAUUAGUGGCAGCUAUUGUUGUAGCGAUACGUGCACAGCACCUUCUAGAGCAUAAGGAUCGUGAUAAGUAUAUGAAUAACAUAUUUCCACUCUAUAGGUGAACUAAACAUCUGACUUUUACAAAUUCAUAUUGAUUCCUUCCUAAUGUUUGUCUACAAGAGAAACCAUGUUUUAAGCAAUACAUAUGAGUAAUGAAGCUCUAACAUUGCAGCCUAUUUGGAUACAUUGUCCUCCAUAUGCUCAUGUAUGGGGCAAAUGUAUACUACUGGAAGCGUUUUCGGGUCAAUUAUCCCUUCAUAUUUGGCUUCAAGCAGGGAACAGAGUUAGGUUACAAACAAGUUUUCCUCCUUGCUUCUGGUCUUUCAGUUCUUGCAUUGGUUGCUUCACUCUUCCACCUGGAUAUGGAUAUGGACCCUAAAACAGGAAGCUAUGAGACAGUGAAAGAGCUGAUCCCACUUGUGUUGCUGUUUGUAAGUUUAGAAACAUUAGUUUUCCUUCUACUAUCAUUCUACAACUGAUCUAUACAAAAAAUUGAACCCCUUAAUGAUCUUAAAUCUUCUUCUUUUUUCAGGUUCUUCUUCUAAUAACUUUUUGUCCUCUGAACAUUUUAUAUCGUUCAAGUCGUUUCUUCUUUCUAAGAACUGCCUGGCACUGCCUAUGCGCUCCCCUCUAUAAGGUACCAGCAGUUUGUUUAAGAGAUAUACAGAUUCACAUACUUUAAUAUCACAGGACUAACUAGUUGCACAUCAAUUUACAGGUUACUCUACCAGAUUUCAUCUUGGCAGAUCAACUUACCAGCCAGGUUUGACACUCAGCCUUUUUCUAUAUGGGUAACUUCUACAUUAUACCAAAAUGUUGAUGAUUCAGUCAGUAUAAUGUGCAAAUUGUCCUGUGCUUAUCGCAAAAAACAACACUGUGCUCUUUAUUUCAGGUUCAAGCAAUUAGGAGUUUGCAAUUCUAUGUCUGCUACUAUGUAUGGGGCAACUUCAAAACAAGAUCAAACACAUGUCAAGAUAGCGAAGUUUAUAAGAUCUUAUACAUAGUUGUUGCAAUUAUUCCCUUUUGGUCUCGGUUUAUUCAGGUUUGAGAAUUUUUACACCGCAAAUCAUCACUCCCAUUUCCCACUAUAGAUAUCUUGACAAUUAUGUAAUAUGGUGCUUCGUAUGAUUUCAUGCUAUAUACAGUGUCUUCGUCGCUUAUUUGAAGAAAAAGAUUCGAUGCAAGGGCUUAAUAGCCUCAAAUAUUUCUCAACAAUUGUUGCUCUUGUGAUGAGGACACUUUAUUCUCAGAAGGGAGGAACCUUUUGGAGAGUAAUGGCAGCAUCAACUUCAGGAGUUACUACAGUUGCAAACACUUAUUGGGACCUUGUCAUAGAUUGGGGUUUAUUGCAAAGGAAUUCCAAAAACCCCUGGUUGAGAGACAAGCUACUUGUGCCACACAAGAUUGUCUACUUUGUUGCCAUUGUAAGUGUAGACACAGGAUUCAAAAACCAACUAUUAAAAAUACUUGCAGUGGGAUUAGGUUUUUGAUGAUUUUGAGUCUAAACGCAGGUUCUUGACAUUAUUCUGAGACUAGUAUGGAUGCAGUUGGUUCUAGAUUUUCAAGAACUACCUCAUCUGCACAAGAACGCUUUUGUUGCAAUUGUUGCCUGUUUGGAAAUCCUUCGCCGAGGCUUGUGGAACU
rnacentral:lncRNA from 1 species